UUUCCGUAGGUGAACCUGCGGAAGGAUCAUUAAAGAGAAUAUGCCCUUCGGGGUAGAUCUCCCACCCUUUGUUUAUAUUACCUUUGUUGCUUUGGCAGGCCCGUCCUCGGACCACCGGCUUCGGCUGGUCAGUGCUUGCCAGAGGACCCAAAACUCUUAUUAUUAAUGUCGUCUGAGUACUAUAUAAUAGUUAAAACUUUCAACAACGGAUCUCUUGGUUCUG
rnacentral:misc_RNA from 1 species